rnacentral:lncRNA from 1 species
CAAUAAUGUUUGCCUCCAGUGCCUCAGUCCCUGGGGAAUGGGCCCAGCCACCUCCUGUCUCUCUGGAAUGCUCUCCCAGCUUAGUAAGUGAGUCUCUUUUACCAAUGGACUAUGCACUUUUCUAUGUGAUAUAUCUGUGCUGGUUUCCAGAUCAGGCCAGGAAUGCCAGAUAUUGUGGGAUCUCAUCUCUCUUAUGCUGGACCUAAAGGCUUGGAUGUCUAAUGUGGAGCUCAAAUUCCCUGCACCUCUGGGAAAAGAUCCAUACCUUUGAGAUUCUCCUGGACAUGAAGCUCCGUGGCUAGGAAUUACCUCCUCAGGUGGUUCAACUGCCAACUCAAAUUGUUUUGGAAAAUGUAACAACUUUUCAGCGACAAGGAUCAUCAAACUUUCUGUUUAAGUUCAAUAAACGUCUAUUAUAAAAAUUGGACAGUAAAGAAAUGGUUUAAAUUGCUUUAUUUAAUGUAAAAAAAUAGUCUGUGUUGAACAUGUGGCAAGUCAAUACAUUAUGAUCUUUUUAUUCCCCAAGCAAUUUAGUUUUCCAAUACUUUCAAUAAUACAUUUCCUCCUGUCAGUAUAGGAGAGCCCGAUUUACACAAUAAUAGAUAUUUUCAGAAUUGCAGAAAUAUGGAAUGUAACUUUCUUAAAGCUUGACUAUAAAAUGAGUUUAUAUUUUAUAUGUGCAUUAGUGGCUUUAAAAGAUAAUUUGGGGGACUAUUUUUAUUAGACCAAC